rnacentral:rRNA from 1 species
CUACGGGUGGCAGCAGUGGGGAAUAUUGCACAAUGGGGGAAACCCUGAUGCAGCAACGCCGCGUGGAGGAUGACGCAUUUCGGUGUGUAAACUCCUUUUAUAUAGGAAGAUAAUGACGGUACUAUAUGAAUAAGCACCGGCUAACUCCGUGCCAGCAGCCGCGGUAGUACGGAGGGUGCAAGCGUUACUCGGAAUCACUGGGCGUAAAGCGCGCGCAGGCGGCCUUUUAAGUUGGAUGUGAAAGCCUAUGGCUUAACCAUAGAACUGCAUCCAAAACUAUCAGGCUAGAGUCUGGGAGGGGAAGAUGGAAUUAGUUGUGUAGGGGUAAAAUCCGUAGAGAUAACUAGGAAUACCAAAAGCGAAGGCGAUCUUCUGGAACGGUACUGACGCUGAGGCGCGAAAGCGUGGGGAGCAAACAGGAUUAGAUACCCGUGUAGUC